GACGGAGGAUGCAAGCGUUAUCCGGAAUUAUUGGGCGUAAAGCGUCCGCAGGUGGACAUACAAGUCUGCUGUCAAAGUGCAGAGCUUAACUCUGUAAAGGCGGUGGAAACUGUAGGUCUUGAGUAUGGUAGGGGUAGAGGGAAUUCCCGGUGUAGCGGUGAAAUGCGUAGAUAUCGGGAAGAACACCAGUGGCGAAAGCGCUCUACUGGGUCAUAACUGACACUGAGGGACGAAAGCUAGGGGAGCGAAAGGG
rnacentral:rRNA from 1 species